rnacentral:tRNA from 1 species
GCGGAUGUGGCGGAAUUGGUAGACGCGCCAGACUUAGGAUCUGGUGCCGCAAGGCGUGGGGGUUCGAGUCCCUUCAUCCGCA